GUCUCUCUCUAAAAACAUCACUUUAAUCGAUUGGACCUCUCUCUCUUUAGCAGUCACCUAUCUUCUUGUUUACUGUUGUAUAAAUAUUUGAAUCUGUGUAUAUAUAUAAUUCUGCGUGUGUGUGUAUAUAUAUUGUAUAGGUGCAUAUUUGUAUAGGUAAAGCUUUUGCAAUGGAGAGGUACGGAGGUGCACAGGUAACGGAAGGGUCACCGGCUGAUCCGG
rnacentral:lncRNA from 1 species